CCAAUUUGCAGUCCGACAUGUUGUAUAUGCCCAACUGUUUCAACAUCCUCGGUCUACCAUAUCUUUCGCCUGUUUGAAUUUUCUUCUGAUUCGACUCUGCACCUUAUCGAAGAACAUUACACAAUAACCAAGGACUUACGUGCGAUAUGAGUAUAUCGGUUCAUCUUUCUUUCGGCUAUUUGGCAGUGGUGAAAGAUUCUGUCCAACCUAUGUUUGAGAACGGCAUGUGUCAGCCAAUCACCGUCGUCCUCUUUCAUGGCACUUGGCAACUGGAAGUUGAAGACCCGGAUGUUGCUACCAAUUUGCCGAAUUCAUGCGGAUUUCGUGUUGCAUGUUGUGGGAUUCAUCAUGGCAUGCAGCAAACGGGUCUGUGGGAGCCAUGGGGUCUGCCUCAAACGCGCACCAAAGAAUGAACAACAAGUCCAGGUUAUAUUGAUACGGUUUACUGAAAAAAGUAGAAAAACAAAUAAGUGACGAUACAGAAAGUAAACAAAGGAAGAAACACAUUCAAGCAAUGACAACAACAACGAUGACCUCAAGAACUGUCCCCUGGCCCAGUGCCAAAGUUGAAUACACACCACGUAAUUACCAUUAUAAUUGAAAGAACCAAUACUGGAGCCCAAUGCUCAUAGAGACACAGAGUUACCUAAAUUACGUAACAAUUGGCCCAAUGCCAACAACUGUACUCAAACUAACACAACAGGCUCCCCAAAGAUUGCAUAAUCACGUGAUCCACAUACAACCCAAACAUGAGUUAAACGGACUAGAACAGGUGUAAAACAAAGGUCUUGUAACAUGAAU